AGGCCGCGUCGCCCAGGUCCAGCAGGUCGGUGAACUCCAGUUUCGCCAGCAGCGGUUCGUCGUCGUCCCGGCCCG
rnacentral:tRNA from 1 species